AUGGCGCUGCACCAUCUUGGCCUCCUCCUGCUCGCCGUGCUGCUCCCGGCGGCGGCCAUCGGCGCCGACCCGGACGCCGUGCAGGACUUCUGCGUGCCGGACCCCGGGCGCGGCCGGCCCGUGGAGCUCAACCUCAUCCGCUCCUACCCGUGCAGGAGCCCGGCCAACCUCACCGCGGGCGACUUCGCCUUCUCGGGCGUGCGCGCGGCGGGCAACUUCUCGGCCGACACGGGGUUCGCGGGGGUGUCCGUCACGCCGGCGCAGUUCCCGGGCCUGCACACCCUCGGCAUGUCCUUCGCGCGCGCCGACCUCUCGGCCGCCGGCGGCGUCAACCCGCCGCACUACCACCCGCGCGCCACCGAGACGGCGCUCGUCCUCGCCGGCCGCGUCUACGCCGGCUUCGUCGACACCGCCGGCCGCCUCUUCGCCAAGGUGCUCGUGGAGGGGGAGGUCAUGGUGUUCCCCCGGGGCAUGGUGCACUUCCAGCUCAACGUCGGCGACCAGCCCGCCACCAUCUACGGCACCUUCAACAGCGAGAACCCCGGGAUCGUGCGCAUCCCGGCCACCGUGUUCGGGUCCGGGAUCAGGGACGCCGUCCUUGAGAGGGCCUUCGGGCUCUCCCCCGAGGAGCUCCGGCGGAUCGAGAAGAGGUUCGGCGUGCCCAAGAAGGCCGAGCUGGAGGACUAG
rnacentral:rRNA from 1 species